rnacentral:rRNA from 1 species
UACGGAGGGUGCAAGCGUUAUCCGGAUUCACUGGGUUUAAAGGGUGCGUAGGUGGGCAGGUAAGUCAGUGGUGAAAUCUCCGGGCUUAACUCGGAAACUGCCACUGAUACUAUCUUUCUUGAAUACCGUGGAGGUCAGCGGAAUAUGUCAUGUAGCGGUGAAAUGCUUAGAUAUGACAUAGAACACCAAUUGCGAAGGCAGCUGGCUACACGAAUAUUGACACUGAUGCACGAAAGCGUGGGGAUCAAACAGG